rnacentral:rRNA from 1 species
GGGGGGGGGGGGGGGGGGGGGGGGUGGGGGGGGGGGGGGGGGGGGGGGGGGGGGGUUGGUUCUGUGGUGUUGGGGGCGGGCGGGGGGGUAGCACGUGGAUGAGCUACCUAUAAGCCUGGGAUAACUUCGGGAAACCGGCGCUAAUACCGGGGAAUAGUUUGAACCUCAUGGGUCAAACGUGAAAGACGGUCUUGCUGUCACUUAUAGAUGGAUCCGCGCUGCAUUAGCGAGUUGGUAAGGUAACGGCUUACCAAGGCAACGAUGCAUAGCCUACCUGAGAGGGUGAUCGGCCACACUGGAACUGAGACACGGUCCAGACUCCUACGGGAGGCAGCAGUAGGGAAGCUUCCGCAAUGGGCGAAAGCCUGACGGAGCAACGCCGCGUGAGUGAUGAAGGUCUUCGGAUCGUAAAACUCUGUUAUUAGGGAAGAACAUAUGUGUAAGUAACUGUGCACAUCUUGACGGUACCUAAUCAGAAAGCCACGGCUAACUACGUG